AUGAGUUGGAACGUACGCGGCCUGAACUCGCCAGCGAAGCGAGAGGCCGUUCGAGAGGUAGUCGCAGCACACCGCACCACCAUUUUGUGCAUGCAAGAGACCAAGAUUGACGAGUGGACGUCGGCCCACAUCUGUGACAUCGGCGGCCCAAUUCUGCGCGGCUGUGCAGUACUGCCCGCUAUUGGCACGCGGGGCGGCAUCGCCAUUCUCUGGAACCAAGACCUGGUAGACGUCGACACCCACGCCAUAGGCCAGUUUGCGAUCACGGUUAAGGUCUCUGUAGCUAGGCACCCGACCUCUUUCUGGUUAACCACGGUCUAUGCCCCGACUGAUGAUGCGAGCAAAGAGGCCUUCCUCACCGAGAUCGCGAAUUCUGCCCCGCCUAGCCCCAUGGCUCAUCAAUGGCAAUUUCAAUCAAAUUUAUGA
rnacentral:rRNA from 1 species